AAGAAAUAGGAUAAUCGAAAGUAAGCUUCUAACUUAAAUUUCUAGUGGUGAAAAUCCAUUAAUAUUUCU
rnacentral:tRNA from 1 species